UCUGCAUUUCGGAUUCGGUUCGUAGCUCACAGCUGCCAGUCGGUACGUUUAGAGCUAUUAUAAAAAGGAGAGGAGAGCCAGCCUGACACACCAGUUGUUCACAAUGACUGGAAGGAUUAAAUACGUUCUCGGUAAGUAAUUAUUUAGAUGCACUUGUCAUUAUAUAUUAUAAAUUUAAAGAGCAUGUAAAUAAAAGUACCAAUUUAAUUACUUUAUUGAAGUCAUACAAUUGAAUAAACAUCGCUUUUAAAGUUGUUUUCGUUCAUUCAAAAUUUGAAAUAAUCAUUCAAAAAUUACUACUUUAUUUAUUUCUCAAUUCAUGAUGUCUGUAAACAUGUAUAAAUAAACAAUAAUAAUAUAAAAGCUGAUAUUAUUCAAUCAGCUGCUGAUUCUGAGAAUUAGUCUCUCUAUGAGUUCAAAAUGAUUGUCACUUACUAUGAAUUUAUAAUAAUUGUCACAUCGACUCAUAGUUAGUCCUGGUUUUUAAAUGAUGUAGAGAGUAUUCUCUUUUUGUUCUGAUAAAUUUUAACAGGUAAGCUCUUAAAAAUAAUUAUUUAUUCAUGUAUAAGUAUGUAUACAUAUAUUUGAAAAACAUUAACGAUAGUUAAUCUGCAGAAUAUGUGAGCUGUAAGUUUAAAUACCAACGAGAUGAAAGAUGGAGAGAUAAUAAUCAAUUACCUGGAAGCUGAUUAUUUAGAGGCUGAAUUACUGAUUGGAAAUUCAAUAACCUAAAUAAAGAGAAACUAUUCACGAUGUCUGGAUCAACUGUGAUGUUCAUAUCAAGUCUUCUAUAGGCGAGAAACAUAAUGAAACGAUUAUUAACAUCAUGAUGUCACAAGGUCUACAUCAACGGAGUUACUGACCUUAAAAUUGAAACAAUCAUUUUUUAUUUUAUUCAAAGUAAUUAUGAAUUCAAUUUUAUUCAAAGCUUCUAUUAUGAAUAAUUGUAGAAAUAAUUAAAAACAACGAAUUGAUCAUCAAAUAAAAACAU